rnacentral:rRNA from 1 species
UACGGAGGGGGCUAGCGUUGUUCGGAAUUACUGGGCGUAAAGCGCACGUAGGCGGCUUUGUAAGUUAGAGGUGAAAGCCCGGGGCUCAACUCCGGAAUUGCCUUUAAGACUGCAUCGCUAGAAUUGUGGAGAGGUAAGUGGAAUUCCGAGUGUAGAGGUGAAAUUCGUAGAUAUUCGGAAGAACACCAGUGGCGAAGGCGACUCACUGGCCCGAUACUGACGCUGAGGCACGAAAGCGUGGGGAGCAAACAGG